CGGCAACAGCUCAAAUUUGAAAUCUGGCCCUUGUGGUCCGAGUUGUAAUUUGUAGAGGAUGCUUUUGGUGCGGUGCCUUCCGAGUUCCCUGGAACGGGACGCCAUAGAGGGUGAGAGCCCCGUCUGGUUGGACACCAAGCCUCUGUAAAGCUCCUUCGACGAGUCGAGUAGUUUGGGAAUGCUGCUCUAAAUGGGAGGUAUAUGUCUUCUAAAGCUAAAUACCGGCCAGAGACCGAUAGCGCACAAGUAGAGUGAUCGAAAGAUGAAAAGCACUUUGAAAAGAGGGUUAAAUAGUACGUGAAAUUGUUGAAAGGGAAGCGUUUGUGACCAGACUUGGGCUUGGUUAAUCAUCCAGCGUUCUCGCUGGUGCACUUUGCCAGCCCAGGCCAGCAUCAGUUCGCUGCGGGGGAUAAAAGAUCUGGGAAUGUGGCUCUUCGGAGUGUUAUAGCCUGUUUCUUAAUACCCUGUGGUGGACUGAGGUUCGCGCAUCUGCAAGGAUGCUGGCGUAAUGGUCAUCAACGACCCGUCUUGAAACACGGACCAAGGAGUCGUCUUCGUAUGCGAGUGUUCGGGUGUCAAACCCCUACGCGUAAUGAAAGUGAACGGAGGUGGGAGCCUCGGCGCACCAUCGACCGAUCCUGAUGUUUUCGGAUGGAUUUGAGUAAGAGCAUACGGGGCCGGACCCGAAAGAAGGUGAACUAUGCCUGUAUAGGGUGAAGCCAGAGGAAACUCUGGUGGAGGCUCGCAGCGGUUCUGACGUGCAAAUCGAUCGUCAAAUAUGGGCAUGGGGGCGAA
rnacentral:rRNA from 1 species